rnacentral:lncRNA from 1 species
UUUCAGGGACUUCUUGGAAACAUGAAAGAUGCUUGCUUGGUUGGGCAAUUGGCAUAGGAAUAUUGUUUAGGUUAAUUAGCUUGUCUUGUUAUAAGUAGUGUCAUGAACAUCAUCUAGCGGGUUAGGAUAAUUAGUUUGUUUUUGCUUUGGACACAAAAUUGUCUUGCUUCUUUGUUUGUUUUGUGAAGGAUGAGAGACUAUGUAAUUUGAUGGUACUUAUUGGCCUUCUUUGUGCCUUUUUAUAUCUUUAUUAAUAUAACUUUGCCUUUUGUAUUAUUGGCUACUAUGUUUUAAGUUUCAAAUUAAGCUUCAG